GUGGACAAUAUGUCAAUCGACGGGACACACCAUUCUGCUCUGGGGAGUCAUGCCUCCAGGCCAAGUGGAUAUUCUUCCUCAAAUCAAAAUAUGGAAAUUCCACACUGUCUGCCACAGGUUCAAGGUCCUCUUCAUGAUCCUUUUCUGCAUUCAGGUACUGGAGGUUUUCAUAUGAUCCAUGAGAGUUAUCCACAUCAAGCAUCUUCAUCAACCCAUGGAGGUCAGACGUAUCAUGGGGUGGAUGGUGGCCUCGUUGAUCUCACAAUGGGCAGCGGGAGAGGGCCAUUCAAACGUAAGAGUCCUGGUAUACCUGCAGGUGGCGAAAGUGGUAGUACGAGCAGAUACUUCGAUGCUGGCAGUUCAUCUGAUAUCCCUUCUGACUCUUGGCAGAUGGUGGCCUCGUUGACCUCACAAUGGGCAGCGGGAGAGGGCCAUACAAACGUAAGAGUCCUGGUAUACCUGCAGGUGGCGAAAGUGGUAGUACGAGCAGAUACUUCGAUGCUGGCAGCUCAUCUGAUAUCCCUUCUGACUCUUGGCAUGAGAAACAAAAUCCAGAUUCUCAUUACACGUCUUGGGGUUUACAUCCUAGUUACAGAGGUAAUACUCUGUCUAUUGGAGGUGAAGGUUCUCAGAGGAAUGUAAGAAGCAGAUCUGCAUUUGAUCUGCAAAGUAAUGUGGGAAGGGCGCAUAUAACAAGUAAUCCUUCACAUCACUCUAACAGCAGUAGAACAACCACUGAUUAUUGUAGUUCAGUGAACUAUCUGGCUCCAAGUUCUAAUUCUUCAACAAGGGAAUGGAACCAUGCAGUCAUGCCCCCUGUUGCCACUCAUGGGAGGAAUUUCGCUUCUGGUUAGUUUCUUAAAUUAUUUUUUAUCGUUUACUAUGUAUUAUUUAAUUAGUAAUGUUUUGCAAGCUGCAGAUACAGGCUUUUGUUACGAUAUGAACCACUACGAUAUGGUAACUGGAAAUAUAUCUACC
rnacentral:lncRNA from 1 species